GUUUGAUCAUGGCUCAGAUUGAACGCUGGCGGCAUGCCUUACACAUGCAAGUCGAACGGUAACAGGUUAAGCUGACGAGUGGCGAACGGGUGAGUAAUAUAUCGGAACGUGCCCAGUCGUGGGGGAUAACUGCUCGAAAGAGCAGCUAAUACCGCAUACGACCUGAGGGUGAAAGCGGGGGAUCGCAAGACCUCGCGCGAUUGGAGCGGCCGAUAUCAGAUUAGCUAGUUGGCGGGGUAAAAGCCCACCAAGGCGACGAUCUGUAGCUGGUCUGAGAGGACGACCAGCCACACCGGGACUGAGACACGGCCCAGACUCCUACGGGAGGCAGCAGUGGGGAAUUUUGGACAAUGGACGCAAGUCUGAUCCAGCCAUGCCGCGUGUGGGAAGAAGGCCUUCCGGUUGUAAACCACUUUUGUCAGGGAAGAAACGGCUCGGGUUAAUACCUUGGGCUAAUGACGGUACCUGAAGAAUAAGCACCGGCUAACUACGUGCCAGCAGCCGCGGUAAUACGUAGGGUGCAAGCGUUAAUCGGAAUUACUGGGCGUUAAACGUUCGCAGCGGUUAUGCC
rnacentral:rRNA from 1 species